rnacentral:rRNA from 1 species
GACGAACGCUGGCGGCGUGCCUAAUACAUGCAAGUCGAACGAACCGCGACUAGGUGCUUGCACUUGGUCAAGGUGAGUGGCGAACGGGUGAGUAACACGUGGGUAACCUACCUCAUAGUGGGGGAUAACAGUCGGAAACGACUGCUAAUACCGCAUAGGACAUAGGAUCACAUGAUUCUGUGAUGAGAGGUGGCGCGAGCUAUCGCUAAGAGAUGGACCCGCGGUGCAUUAGCUAGUUGGUAGGGUAAAGGCCUACCAAGGCGAUGAUGCAUAGCGGACCUGAGAGGGUGAUCGGCCACACUGGGACUGAGACACGGCCCAAACUCCUACGGGAGGCAGCAGUAGGGAAUCUUCCGCAAUGGACGCAAGUCUGACGGAGCAACGCCGCGUGAGUGAAGAAGGUCUUCGGAUCGUAAAGCUCUGUUGUUAGAGAAGAACAGCGCAUAGAGUAACUGUUAUGCGUGUGACGGUACCUAACCAGAAAGCAACGGCUAACUACGUG